rnacentral:rRNA from 1 species
CCUACGGGGGGCUGCAGUGGGGAAUAUUGGACAAUGGGGGGAACCCUGAUCCAGCGACGCCGCGUGAGUGAAGAAGUAUUUCGGUAUGUAAAGCUCUAUCAGCAGGGAAGAAAAUGACGGUACCUGACUAAGAAGCCCCGGCUAACUACGUGCCAGCAGCCGCGGUAAUACGUAGGGGGCAAGCGUUAUCCGGAUUUACUGGGUGUAAAGGGAGCGUAGACGGCAGCACAAGUCUGGAGUGAAAUGCCGGGGCUUAACCCCGGAACUGCUUUGGAAACUGUGCAGCUAGAGUGCAGGAGAGGUAAGUGGAAUUCCUAGUGUAGCGGUGAAAUGCGUAGAUAUUAGGAGGAACACCAGUGGCGAAGGCGGCUUACUGGACUGUAACUGACGUUGAGGCUCGAAAGCGUGGGGAGCAAACAGGAUUAGAUACCCCUGUAGUC